GUUUGAUCCUGGCUCAGAAUCAACGCUGGCGGCGCGCCUAACACAUGCAAGUCGAACGAGAAAGUGGAGCAAUCCAUGAGUACAGUGGCGUACGGGUGAGUAACACGUGGGUGAUCUACCUCUUAGUGGGGAAUAACUUUGGGAAACCGAAGCUAAUACCGCAUAAGCUCGAGAGAGGAAAGCAGCAAUGCGCUGAGAGAGGAGCCCGCGGCCGAUUAGCUAGUUGGCAGGAUAAAAGCCUACCAAGGCAUAGAUCGGUAGCCGGCCUGAGAGGGCACACGGCCACACUGGCACUGAAACACGGGCCAGACUCCUACGGGAGGCAGCAGUGGGGAAUCUUGCACAAUGGGGGAAACCCUGAUGCAGCGACGCCGCGUGAGCGAUGAAGCCCUUCGGGGUGUAAA
rnacentral:rRNA from 1 species